rnacentral:rRNA from 1 species
UGGGGAAUUUUGGACAAUGGGCGAAAGCCUGAUCCAGCCAUGCCGCGUGCAGGAUGAAGGCCUUCGGGUUGUAAACUGCUUUUGUACGGAACGAAAAGCCUCUUUCUAAUAAAGAGAGGUCAUGACGGUACCGUAAGAAUAAGCACCGGCUAACUACGUGCCAGCAGCCGCGGUAAUACGUAGGGUGCAAGCGUUAAUCGGAAUUACUGGGCGUAAAGCGUGCGCAGGCGGUUUUGUAAGACAGAGGUGAAAUCCCCGGGCUCAACCUGGGAACUGCCUUUGUGACUGCAAGGCUGGAGUGCGGCAGAGGGGGAUGGAAUUCCGCGUGUAGCAGUGAAAUGCGUAGAUAUGCGGAGGAACACCGAUGGCGAAGGCAAUCCCCUGGGCCUCACUGACGCUCAUGCACGAAAGCGUGGGGAGCAAACAGGAUUAGAUACCCUGGUAGUCCACGCCCUAAACGAUGUCAACUGGUUGUUGGGUCUUCACUGACUCAGUAACGAAGCUAACGCGUGAAGUUGACCGCCUGGGGAGUACGGCCGCAAGGUUGAAACUUAAAGGAAUUGACGGGGUCAUAGCUGUUUCCU